UACGGGGGGGGCAAGCGUGGUUCGGAAUUACUGGGCGUAAGGGGCUCGUAGGCGGCCAACUAAGUCAGACGUGAAAUCCCUCGGCUUAACCGGGGAACUGCGUCUGAUACUGGAUGGCUUGAGUUUGGGAGAGGGAUGCGGAAUUCCAGGUGUAGCGGUGAAAUGCGUAGAUAUCUGGAGGAACACCGGUGGCGAAGGCGGCAUCCUGGACCAACACUGACGCUGAGUGAGCGAAAGCCAGGGGAGCAAACGGG
rnacentral:rRNA from 1 species